UACGAAGGGGGCUAGCGUUGUUCGGAAUUACUGGGCGUAAAGCGCACGUAGGCGGAUAUGCCAGUCAGGGGUGAAAUCCCGAGGCUCAACCUCGGAACUGCCUCCGAUACAGCAUGUCUCGAGUCCGGAAGAGGUGAGUGGAAUUCCUAGUGUAGAGGUGAAAUUCGUAGAUAUUAGGAAGAACACCAGUGGCGAAGGCGGCUCACUGGUCCGGUACUGACGCUGAGGUGCGAAAGCGUGGGGAGCAAACAGG
rnacentral:rRNA from 1 species